GGGGGGGGGGGGGGGCGGGCGUGGGGCGGGCAGGGCGAGCGGAAGGGCCCGGCGUUGGUGGGGUGCUCGAGUGGCGAACGGGUGAGUAACACGUGAGUAACCUGCCCUUGACUUUGGGAUAACUUCAGGAAACUGGGGCUAAUACCGGAUAGGAGCUCCUGCUGCAUGGUGGGGGUUGGAAAGUUUCGGCGGUUGGGGAUGGACUCGCGGCUUAUCAGCUUGUUGGUGGGGUAGUGGCUUACCAAGGCUUUGACGGGUAGCCGGCCUGAGAGGGUGACCGGCCACAUUGGGACUGAGAUAGGGCCCAGACUCCUACGGGAGGCAGCAGUGGGGAAUAUUGCACAAUGGGCGGAAGCCUGAUGCAGCAACGCCGCGUGCGGGAUGACGGCCUGCGGGUUGUAAACCGCUUUCGCCUGUGACGAAGCGUGAGUGACGGUAAUGGGUAAAGAAGCACCGGCUAACUACGUG
rnacentral:rRNA from 1 species